rnacentral:tRNA from 2 species
AAGGUUUUAAGUUAAAUAAACUAAUAGCCUUCAAAGCUAUAUAUAUAAGUAUAAAUCUUUUAAGCCUUA